GCUUACGGCCAUACCACCCUGAGCAAGCCCGAUCUCGUCUGAUCUCGGAAGCUAAGCAGGGUCGGGCCUGGUUAGUACUUGGAUGGGACACCGCCUGGGAAUACCAGGUGCUGUAAGCU
rnacentral:rRNA from 1 species